UUUAUGGAGAGUUUGAUCCUGGCUCAGGAUGAACGCUGGCGGCGUGCCUAAUACAUGCAAGUCGAGCGAACGGACGAGAAGCUUGCUUCUCUGAUGUUAGCGGCGGACGGGUGAGUAACACGUGGAUAACCUACCUAUAAGACUGGGAUAACUUCGGGAAACCGGAGCUAAUACCGGAUGAUAUUUUGAACCGCAUGGUUCAAAAGUGAAAGACGGUCUUGCUGUCACUUAUAGAUGGAUCCGCGCUGCAUUAGCUAGUUGGUAAGGUAACGGCUUACCAAGGCAACGAUGCAUAGCCGACCUGAGAGGGUGAUCGGCCACACUGGAACUGAGACACGGUCCAGACUCCUACGGGAGGCAGCAGUAGGGAAUCUUCCGCAAUGGGCGAAAGCCUGACGGAGCAACGCCGCGUGAGUGAUGAAGGUCUUCGGAUCGUAAAACUCUGUUAUUAGGGAAGAACAUAUGUGUAAGUAACUGUGCACAUCUUGACGGUACCUAA
rnacentral:rRNA from 1 species